rnacentral:rRNA from 1 species
UACAGAGGGGGCAAGCGUUAUUCGGAAUUAUUGGGCGUAAAGGGCGCGUAGGCGGCCUGGCAAGUGGAAGGUGAAAUCCCUCGGCUUAACCGAGGAACUGCCUCCCAAACUGCUUGGCUCGAGACCGGGAGAGGUGAGUGGAAUUCCCAGUGUAGCGGUGAAAUGCGUAGAUAUCAGGAAGAACACCCGUGGCGAAGGCGGCUCUCUGGGACGGUACUGACGCUGAGACGCGAAAGCGUGGGGAGCGAACAGG